rnacentral:rRNA from 1 species
GUUAAGCGACUAAGCGUACACGGUGGAUGCCCUGGCAGUCAGAGGCGAUGAAGGACGUGCUAAUCUGCGAUAAGCGUCGGUAAGGUGAUAUGAACCGUUAUAACCGGCGAUUUCCGAAUGGGGAAACCCAGUGUGUUUCGACACACUAUCAUUAACUGAAUCCAUAGGUUAAUGAGGCGAACCGGGGGAACUGAAACAUCUAAGUACCCCGAGGAAAAGAAAUCAACCGAGAUUCCCCCAGUAGCGGCGAGCGAACGGGGAGGAGCCCAGAGCCUGAAUCAGUGUGUGUGUUAGUGGAAGCGUCUGGAAAGGCGCGCGAUACAGGGUGACAGCCCCGUACACAAAAAUGCACAUACUGUGAGCUCGAUGAGUAGGGCGGGACACGUGGUAUCCUGUCUGAAUAUGGGGGGACCAUCCUCCAAGGCUAAAUACUCCUGACUGACCGAUAGUGAACCAGUACCGUGAGGGAAAGGCGAAAAGAACCCCGGCGAGGGGAGUGAAAAAGAACCUGAAACCGUGUACGUACAAGCAGUGGGAGCCUCUUUUAUGGGGUGACUGCGUACCUUUUGUAUAAUGGGUCAGCGACUUAUAUUCUGUAGCAAGGUUAACCGAAUAGGGGAGCCGAAGGGAAACCGAGUCUUAACUGGGCGUUAAGUUGCAGGGUAUAGACCCGAAACCCGGUGAUCUAGCCAUGGGCAGGUUGAAGGUUGGGUAACACUAACUGGAGGACCGAACCGACUAAUGUUGAAAAAUUAGCGGAUGACUUGUGGCUGGGGGUGAAAGGCCAAUCAAACCGGGAGAUAGCUGGUUCUCCCCGAAAGCUAUUUAGGUAGCGCCUCGUGAAUUCAUCUCCGGGGGUAG